GCCAAGGUGGGUGAGGCACUGUACGCCCAGAGGGCUCCGGGGCCCAGUCCUGGGGUAGUGAUCUCUCUCUGGAGGGACCUUUGGAAGCAGUCAACCGGAAAUUGAUUCGUAAUGAGGGCCUACUAUGUGCCUAUCACUGAGAGUGCAUUUUUUGAGAAAGAAACUGUGAGAGUGGGCACGUGGCAACUGCUUUGAGAAAAUGUCAUCUUAGGUGGGCACUCAUGUUGUGAUUCCUUCCUGUUUUUUACAUCACAAAGAUUACUGAGCACAAGACCGGACUGGACGAAUCUUCCACAGCAUGGCCUAAACAAGAGACUGGCUCCAGACCUCUGAAGAAAGAGCCUCGAGGCAUCAAUCACUUUGUCAGAUUCCUGGGAACGUGAAGCGCCGGCACAUACUUUGUGGUCGCCCACAUUUGCCAUCGGGCUGUGUAGGCCCACAGCUAAACAGGUCUUCAAUUUCAAUUAGACACCCUGUCCAGAUAGGGGGAGGCAGGAGCGCGCCAGCAUGAGCUGGGCAU